rnacentral:rRNA from 1 species
UCUACCACCGGGAUGUUCAUAACCCUUUGCUGUCCGACUCUGUUGCCUCCGGGGCGACCCUGCCUUCGGGCGGGGGCUCCGGGUGGACACUUCAAACUCUUGCGUAACUUUGCAGUCUGAGUAAACUUAAUUAAUAAAUUAAAACUUUUAACAACGGAUCUCUUGGUUCUGGCAUCGAUGAAGAACGCAGCGAAAUGCGAUAAGUAAUGUGAAUUGCAGAAUUCAGUGAAUCAUCGAAUCUUUGAACGCACAUUGCGCCCCCUGGUAUUCCGGGGGGCAUGCCUGUUCGAGCGUCAUUUCACCACUCAAGCCUCGCUUGGUAUUGGGCAACGCGGUCCGCCGCGUGCCUCAAAUCGACCGGCUGGGUCUUCUGUCCCCUAAGCGUUGUGGAAACUAUUCGCUAAAGGGUGUUCGGGAGGCUACGCCGUAAAACAACCCCAUUUCUAAGGUUGACCUCGGAUCAGGUAGGGAUACCCGCUGAACUUAAGCAUAUCAAAA